rnacentral:rRNA from 1 species
UACAGAGGGGGCAAGCGUUGUUCGGAAUUACUGGGCGUAAAGGGCGCGUAGGUGGCCCGCUAAGUCGAACGUGAAAUCCCCGAGCUCAACUUGGGAACUGCGUCCGAUACUGGCGGGCUUGAAUCCGGGAGAGGGAUGCGGAAUUCCAGGUGUAGCGGUGAAAUGCGUAGAUAUCUGGAGGAACACCGGUGGCGAAGGCGGCAUCCUGGACCGGCAUUGACGCUGAGGCGCGAAAGCUAGGGGAGCAAACGGG